rnacentral:rRNA from 1 species
UACGUAGGGGGCAAGCGUUGUCCGGAUUUAUUGGGCGUAAAGAGCGUGUAGGCGGCCACACAGGUCUGCUGUGAAAACUCGAGGCUCAACCUCGAGAUGUCGGCGGAAACCACUUGGCUAGAGUCCGGAAGAGGAGAGUGGAAUUCCUGGUGUAGCGGUGAAAUGCGCAGAUAUCAGGAAGAACACCUAUGGCGAAGGCAGCUCUCUGGGACGGUACUGACGCUGAGACGCGAAAGCGUGGGGAGCGAACAGG